AACCCUUGUCAUUAGUUGCUACGAAAGGGCACUCUAAUGAGACUGCCGGUGACAAACCGGAGGAAGGUGGGGAUGACGUCAAGUCCUCAUGGCCCUUAUAGGUGGGGCUACACACGUCAUACAAUGGCUGGUACAAAGGGUUGCCAACCCGCAGGGGGAGCCAAUCCCAUAAAGCCAGUCGUAGUCCGGAUCGCAGUCUGCAACUCGACUGCGUGAAGUCGGAAUCGCUAGUAAUCGUGGAUCAGCAUGUCACGGUGAAUACGUUCCCGGGUCUU
rnacentral:rRNA from 1 species